AGGGAUCACAACUUGAAGACGUGGAAGAUCUGGGUCAGUCCUCGGGCUGUCCUGUCAAGGAGCUAUCACAGAACUCUGGGGACUCGGAAAUGCUGUCAGACAUAACAUCCACAGCAGGACAGACUAUACCUCAAUCUGAAGG